rnacentral:lncRNA from 10 species
GGUCGCUGCGCCUCGGUGGUGGUCACGCCCGGCCAGCUGUGGCCGCAUCCCUGUCGGCUAGCUCGGGUCUGGCCCACGGUGACUGUUACCCCUGGGGAAUGGGGCAGCUCUGAUCCAUCCAACGCUGCUGCACUGGAGACUGUACUUACUUAAUGGUGAUAGUUUAUUUAUAUGUCUGUCUUCUCUGGUGGCUGCAGGGAACAGACACUGUAUCUAUCUUGUUCAACAUCAUCAUCCUCAGCUAGAGAAUAACUGGCAGAAAGAAGGAGAGCAAUAAACAUUUGUUGUUGACAAUGGUCCAAAGGCUCCAGCCCUAACUCUUAGGCAGAAGCCUACUUUGUGUGUCCCCAAGGGUAGGAUAUGUCUUAUGCCUUGGACCUUGACAGUGACCAUGGCCAGGUGCCCUUCUCUGCCUUGCCCUGACCCUGAUCUUCACUGUUUUCCAAAAUGAGUUCAUUAAGAAAAUGAUUGGGCAGAGUAAUAGCUGGGGAUUACGUUGCUCUUGUCAAUAAGUUCUGGUUUUCACUUCUUUCUAGGGUCAGAAAUCAGGAGUGAGGACUUGUUGAAAGAAAUAGGAAGGAAUCAGAUCACAUAAAUGCUGGCCCCAAAUGUUUGCAUCAUAAACCCAUUGCCUAAUUUUACAGUUGAGAAAAUAAAGCUCUCUAAAUAACCACAAAGCUCCUACUCCUACUUCAGACAUAUCAGAAAAAUGAGAUAAUAAUGCACAAACCAAGUUUCAAAAGCUCUAUGGUAGGUCUGGAGAGAUGGAGAUCAGUUCUUGUCUGUCAGCCCCUGUUCUUCCAUUCUUAUAAGGUUACAGAAUCUCUAGCAAGGGACAUGACAGCUCAGGGAAAAAGCACACAUUUCCCAGCAUUCUUUAAGGCAAAGUGUGUCCAUGUGACCAACUUCUGGCAAACAGGCUGUAAGAAAAUGUGAUGCUGUGUCCUUAAAGACAAGGGACAUGCCCUCCCUGCCCCCAAACCUUCAUCGACCAGGUGGAAUGUUGACAAGGGAGAGCAUCAGAGCAUCUUGGACCAUGUGAAUAAGGGUGUGGCUGCUGGGGAUGACAGAGCAACUAAAAGGAGGAGGCACAGAGCUGCUAUAUCAGCCCCAGAUGGCUUACUUUCUGAUGAUACAUGAGAGAGAAAUAAACUUUCAUCAAAUUUAAACCACAUUUAUUUGGGUUCUUCAAAUUAAUUUCCAAGCCCAUAGCCUAACUAAUACCCCUAGAAAUGAGGAAGGAUGGAAAAAUCAC